GAUGAACGCUGGCGGCGUGCUAACACAUGCAAGUCGAGCGAUGAGGCUCCCUUCGGGGGGUACAUCAGCGGCGAACGGGUGAGUAACACGUGGGUGACCUUCCCCAAAGACGGGGAUAACUCUUGGAAACAGGGGCUAAUACCCGAUGUGCUCAGCAGUUCACUCUGUUGAGUAAAGCUAUGGCGCUUUGGGAUGGGCCCGCGGCCCAUCAGCUAGUUGGUAGGGUAAUGGCCUACCAAUGCUAAGACGGGUAGGGGGCGUGAGAGCGCGAUCCCCCACACUGGCACUGAGACACGGGCCAGACUCCUACGGGAGGCAGCAGUGAGGAAUAUUGCGCAAUGGACGAAAGUCUGACGCAGCGACGCCGCGUGGGCGAUGAAGGCCUUCGGGUCGUAAAGCCCUUUUCUGGGGGAAGAGAAAGGACGGUACCCCAGGAAUAAGCCCCGGCUAACUACGUGCCAGCAGCCGCGGUAAAACGUAGGGGGCAAGCGUUAUCCGGAUUUACUGGGCGUAAAGAGCGUUGAGGCGGUUUUGUAAGUUGGGCGUGAAAGCCCUGGGCUUAACUCAGGGAAGCCGUUCAAUACUGCGAAACUUGAGGGCAGCAGAGGGAGGUGGAAUUCCCGGAGUAGCGGUGAAAUGCGUAGAUCUCGGGAGGAACACCAGUGGCGAAGGCGGCCUCCUGGGCUGCUCCUGACGCUGAAGGCGAAAGCUAGGGGAGCAAACGGGAUUAGAAACCCCGGUAGUCCUAGCUGUAAACGAUGGAUGCUAGGUGUGGGGGGUGUAGAUUCCCCUCCGUGCCGCAAUUAACGCGUUAAGCAUCCCGCCUGGGGAGUACGGCCGCAAGGCUUAAACUCAAACGAAUUGACGGGGGCCCGCACAAGCAGCGGAGCGUGUGGUUUAAUUCGAUGCUACACGAAGAACCUUACCUGGGCUUGACAUACAGGUAGUAGUGAAGUGAAAGCGGAUCGACCCUUCGGGGAGCCUGUACAGGUGCUGCAUGGCUGUCGUCAGCUCGUG
rnacentral:rRNA from 1 species